ensembl:lncRNA
GGGCACAUGGAGUGCUAUGGGCCAGCACCGGCCCCAUAGCAGCCCCUGCCCCACAGCGGCACCCCUCCCUAUGGCACCCCAUGGUGGUGGGGUGGCUGCUGUGGGGUAGGGGGUGCUGUGGGUCCGAUGCUGCUAUGGGGCAGGUGGUGCCAUGGGGGGCUGCAAUGGGGCAGGUGGUGCCAUGGGGUGGCGCUAUGGGGUGGAGUGCUGCUGUGGGGCAGGGGCUGCUGUGGGUCAGAUGCUGCUAUGGGGCAGGGGGUGCCAUAGGGUGGGGUGCCCUAUGGGGAAGGGGCUGCUAUGGGGCCGGUGCUGCCCCAUUGAACUCCAUGUUACCGCAUAGCACUCCAUAUUACCCCAUAGCGCUCCAUAUUACCCCAUAGCGCUCCAUAUUACCCCAUAGCGCUCCAUGUGACCCCAUAGCGCUCCAUAUCACACCAUAGCACUCCAUAUAACCCCAUAGCGC